rfam:Oryza barthii chromosome 4, whole genome shotgun sequence.
UUUAAAUGCAACCAUAAGUUUUCGUGCCCAACUUUGAUCAUCUAUCUUAUUUGAAAAAAAAAUUAUAAUUAGUAUUUUUAUUGUUAUGAGAUGAUAAAACAUGAAUAAUACUUUACUCGUGACUUAUGUUUUUAAUUUUUUUUAAAAAAAAUAAAUAAGACAGACAGUUAAAGUUAAACAUGAAAAACUAUAGUUGUACUUAAA